rnacentral:rRNA from 1 species
CCCUUAGAUGCUCUGGGCCGCACGCGCGCUACACUGGUCGAUGCAACGAGUUUCUUUCCUUGGCCGACAGGCCUGGGCAAUCUUUGAACAUCGAUCGUGAUCGGGAUAGAUUCUUGUAAUUUUUGAUCCUAAACGAGGAAUUCCUAGUAAACGCAAGUCAUCAGCUUGCAUUGAUUACGUCCCUGCCCUUUGUACACACCGCCCGUCGCACCUACCGAUUGAAUGGUCCGGUGAAAUCUCCGGACUGGCGUGAGUCGGAGCAAUCUGACAAACACCGGAAAGUUGAUUAAACCUUACCAUUUAGAGGAAGGUGAAGUCGUAACA